rnacentral:rRNA from 1 species
CCUACGGGAGGCAGCAGUAAGGAAUCUUCCACAAUGGACGAAAGUCUGAUGGAGCAACGCCGCGUGCAGGAUGAAGGCUUUCGGGUCGUAAACUGCUUUUAUAUGGGAAGAUUAUGACGGUACCAUAUGAAUAAGGACCGGCUAACUACGUGCCAGCAGCCGCGGUAAUACGUAGGGUCCAAGCGAUAUCCGGAAUUACUGGGCGUAAAGCGUGUGUAGGUGGAUUAAUAAGUGUGAUGCGAAAUCCGGCGGCUCAACCGUUUGGACUGUGUCGCAUACUGUUAGUCUAGAGGACGGCAGAGGUAAGUGGAAUUACGGGUGUAGCAGUGAAAUGCGUAGAUAUCCGUAGGAACACCAAUGGCGAAGGCAGCUUACUGGGCCACACCUGACACUGAGACACGAAAGCGUGGGGAGCGAACAGGAUUAGAUACCCUGGUAGUCCACGCCGUAAACGAUGCAUACUAUUAGUAUGGGGUAUCGACCCCCUGUGCUGAGAAGCUAACGCGAUAAGUAUGCCGCCUGGGGAGUACGAGCGCAAGCUUAAAACUACAAAGGAAUUAGACGG